rnacentral:tRNA from 1 species
AAGGAUUUAAGUUAAAUUAAACUAUUAACCUUCAAAGUUAUAAAUAAAGUAAAAAACUUUAAGCCUUA